rnacentral:rRNA from 1 species
UACAGAGGUCCCGAGCGUUGUUCGGAUUCAUUGGGCGUAAAGGGUGCGUAGGCGGCUUCCUAAGUUUGAUGUGAAAUCCUGGGGCUCAACCCUGGAACUGCAUUGAAUACUGGGAGGCUAGAGUACUGGAGAGGAAACUGGAAUUUACGGUGUAGCAGUGAAGUGCGUAGAGAUCGUAAGGAAGACCAGUGGCGAAGGCGAGUUUCUGGACAGUUACUGACGCUGAGGCACGAAGGCCAGGGGAGCAAACGGG